CCACUAAGAGCUUGAAGGAGUAUAGUUGCUAAGUUUACAAUGGACGGUCGACGUCAAGUGCUGUUUCUUUUCCUGAUUCUCAUGGGAUGCUUUGCCGUUCUUGGACGAUCUCGAAGCAUCAACGACAUGCAUAGUAGUAAGAUUACUAUGAAGUGUUGCAGAUACCUGAAAGCACAACCGAGCCCGAAACCUCUGUUGGUAUGCUGCACGCCCUUCAAGACAUCAUCAUGCUUUGAGACGAAGAAAGAAUGUCUGGAAACCUGUUGCAAACAGUCCAAAACUAAUUUUACUGAUGUCACUUGGUCGCUUCCUAUUCUGCACUGACGAUAAUUCUAGUCUUAUUCCGCAAUAAGAGAUUUGACAUAAAAUAAUCCAUGAGUUUUUACUUC